UACGAAGGGGGCUAGCGUUGCUCGGAAUGACUGGGCGUAAAGCGCGUGUAGGCGGUUAGUUAAGUCAGAUGUGAAAUCCCUGGGCUCAACCGAGGAAGUGCAUUUGAAACUAAUUGGCUAGAAGAUGGUAGAGGAAGGUGGAAUUCCAAGUGUAGAGGUGAAAUUCGUAGAUAUUUGGAGGAAUACCGGUGGCGAAGGCGGCCUUCUGGACCAUUCUUGACGCUGAGACGCGAAAGCGUGGGGAGCAAACAGG
rnacentral:rRNA from 1 species